rnacentral:rRNA from 1 species
CGUAGGGACCAAGCGUUGUUCGGAUUUACUGGGCGUAAAGGGCGCGUAGGCGGCUUGCCAAGUCACUUGUGAAAUCUCUGGGCUUAACCCAGAACGGCCAAGUGAAACUGACAUGCUAGAGUGCAGAAGGGGCAAUCGGAAUUCUUGGUGUAGCGGUGAAAUGCGUAGAUAUCAAGAGGAACACCUGAGGUGAAGACGGGUUGCUGGGCUGACACUGACGCUGAGGCGCGAAAGCCAGGGGAGCAAACGGGAUUAGAUACCCCGGUAGUCCUGGCCCUAAACGAUGAAUACUUGGUGUCUGGAGUUAUUAGUGCUCCGGGUGCCGUCGCUAACGUUUUUAGUAUUCCGCCUGGGAGUACGCUCGCAAGAGUG